GAUGAAGAAGUAGCAAAAUGCGAUAAGUAAUGUGAAUUGCAGAAUUCAGUGAAUCAUCGAAUCUUUGAACGCACAUUGCGCCCGCCAGUAUUCUGGCGGGCAUGCCUGUUCGAGCGUCAUUUCAACCCUCAAGCACAGCUUGGUGUUGGGACUCGCGUUAAUUCGCGUUCCUCAAAUUGAUUGGCGGUCACGUCGAGCUUCCAUAGCGUAGUAGUAAAACCCUCGUUACUGGUAAUCGUCGCGGCCACGCCGUUAAACCCCAACUUCUGAAUGUUGACCUCGGAUCAGGUAGGAAUACCCGCUGAACUUAAGCAUAUCAAUAAGCGGAGGA
rnacentral:misc_RNA from 1 species